rnacentral:tRNA from 1 species
UAUCGAAUAGCUAAGUGGUUAAAGCAAAAGGUGAAUAGCCUUUCUACAUGGGUUCGAAUCCCAUUUCAUAA